CCUGAUAGCUCAGUUGGUUAGAGCACAGCGCUGAUAACACCAAGGCUGCAGGUUCAAAUGGGACAGCUACAUGUUCCUGCAUUGCAGGG